rnacentral:miRNA from 3 species
UACCCUGUAGAACCGAAUGUGUGUG